UUCCAUCAUUCCAUGCUUUUCGUAUGCAGCCGGCGGGGCUCGCUCUGAGCACUCUAAUUUUUUCACAGUGAACGUACCGGCCGCCUCGGACACUCGGAGGAACCAUCGAGAACGGAAGAGCACA